UGUGGUACCAGUUUGGUUCUACUGCUGUUCUGUUGGGUCUCUGAUUCUUGUUCAUAAAUUAUUCAGCUGUUUGGAUCAUUUCAACAAACUGUGAAGCUAGAAAGUGUGUGUGAGCUGAUGUGGAUUCAGCAGCAUGGAUCAGUGUGAGGACAGAGAGGAGGGAGUCCCUCCCUCUAAAACCACUCUGUGUGGGGAAGAUGAGAGCCAGAGCAAAGGUCAGAGGAUCCAUCAAAAACGCAAACCAGAACCAGAACCAGAACCAGAGCCAGAGCCAGAGCCAGAGCCAGAGCCAGAACCAGAACCAGAACCCAGCUGUGUGUCCUUUAAGAGUAUCUGG